rnacentral:rRNA from 1 species
GUCCACGCCCUAAACGAUGAGAACUAGCCGUUGGAGGAGUUAAAUCCUUUAGUGGCGCAGCUAACGCGAUAAGUUCUCCGCCUGGGGAGUACGGCCGCAAGGUUAAAACUCAAAGGAAUUGACGGGGGCCCGCACAAGCGGUGGAGUAUGUGGUUCAAUUCGAUGCAACGCGAAAAACCUUACCUGCCCUUGACAUCCUCGGAACUUGUCAGAGAUGACUUGGUGCCUUCGGGAACCGAGAGACAGGUGCUGCAUGGCUGUCGU